rnacentral:tRNA from 1 species
GCGUGAUUGGUGGAAUUGGCAGACACGCUAGAUUUAGGUUCUAGUGGUUUAUCCGUGGGAGUUCAAGUCUCUCAUCACGCACCA